rnacentral:rRNA from 1 species
AACGAACGUUGGCGGCAGGCCUAACACAUGCAAGUCGAACGCACUCUUCGGAGUGAGUGGCAGACGGGUGAGUAACGCGUGGGAACCUUCCCAGUGGUACGGAAUAGCCCAGGGAAACUUGGGGUAAUACCGUAUAAGCCCUUCGGGGGAAAGAUUUAUUGCCAUUGGAUGGGCCCGCGUUGGAUUAGCUAGUUGGUAAGGUAAUGGCUUACCAAGGCGACGAUCCAUAGCUGGUCUAAGAGGAUGAUCAGCCACACUGGGACUGAGACACGGCCCAGACUCCUACGGGAGGCAGCAGUGGGGAAUAUUGGACAAUGGGCGAAAGCCUGAUCCAGCCAUGCCGCGUGAGUGACGAAGGUCUUCGGAUUGUAAAGCUCUUUGGCGGGGACGAUAAUGACGGUACCCGCAGAAUAAGCCCCGGCUAACUUCGUG